rnacentral:rRNA from 1 species
UACGUAGGGUGCGAGCGUUAAUCGGAAUUACUGGGCGUAAAGCGUGCGCAGGCGGUUUUGUAAGCCAGAUGUGAAAUCCCCGGGCUCAACCUGGGAAUGGCAUUUGGGACUGCAAGGCUGGAGUGCGGCAGAGGAGACUGGAAUUCCUGGUGUAGCAGUGAAAUGCGUAGAUAUCAGGAGGAAUACCGAUGGCGAAGGCAGGUCUCUGGGCUGACAAUGACGCUCAUGCACGAAAGCGUGGGGAGCAAACAGG